rnacentral:rRNA from 1 species
UACGUAGGGUGCAAGCGUUGUCCGGAAUUAUUGGGCGUAAAGAGCUCGUAGGCGGUUUGUCGCGUCUGCUGUGAAAACUCGGGGCUUAACUCCGGGCCUGCAGUGGGUACGGGCAGACUAGAGUGCGGUAGGGGAGACUGGAAUUCCUGGUGUAGCGGUGGAAUGCGCAGAUAUCAGGAGGAACACCGGUGGCGAAGGCGGGUCUCUGGGCAGUAACUGACGCUGAGGAGCGAAAGCAUGGGGAGCGAACAGG